rnacentral:rRNA from 1 species
CCUACGGGAGGCUGCAGUGGGGAAUAUUGGGCAAUGGAGGCAACUCUGACCCAGCAACGCCGCGUGAAUGAUGAAGGUCUUCGGAUUGUAAAGUUCUGUGAUGGGGGAUGAACACAAUGACGGUACCCCACUAGCAAGCCACGGCUAACUACGUGCCAGCAGCCGCGGUACUACGUAGGUGGCAAGCGUUAUCCGGAAUGACUGGGCGUAAAGGGUGCGUAGGUGGUUUAGUAAGUUGGCGGUGUAAGUCCGGGGCUCAACCUCGGCGCUACCGCCAAAACUAUUAGACUAGAGUGCAGGAGGGGUAAGUGGAAUUCCUAGUGUAGCGGUGGAAUGCGUAGAUAUUAGGAGGAACAUCAGGGGCGAAGGCGACUUACUGGACUGUAACUGACACUGAGGCACGAAAGCGUGGGGAGCAAACAGGAUUAGAUACCCGUGUAGUC